AUUGAACCGCGGCGGAAUGCUUUACACAUGCAAGUCGAACGGCAGCACGGGUGCUUGCACCUGGUGGCGAGUGGCGAACGGGUGAGUAAUAUAUCGGAACGUAUCCAAUAAUGGGGGAUAACUAGCCGAAAGGUUAGCUAAUACCGCAUACGCCCUGAGGGGGAAAGCUGGGGAUCGUAAGACCUAGCGUUGAUGGAGCGGCCGAUAUCUGAUUAGCUAGUUGGUGGGGUAAGAGCCUACCAAGGCGACGAUCAGUAGCUGGUCUGAGAGGACGACCAGCCACACUGGAACUGAGACACGGUCCAGACUCCUACGGGAGGCAGCAGUGGGGAAUUUUGGACAAUGGGGGCAACCCUGAUCCAGCCAUUCCGCGUGAGUGAAGAAGGCCUUCGGGUUGUAAAGCUCUUUCGCAAGGGAAGAAAACUCGAUCUCUAAUAUAGGUUGAGGCUGACGGUACCUUGAUAAGAAGCACCGGCUAACUACGUGCCAGCAGCCGCGGUAAUACGUAGGGUGCGAGCGUUAAUCGGAAUUACUGGGCGUAAAGCGUGCGCAGGCGGUUUUGAAAGUCAGAUGUGAAAUCCCCGGGCUCAACCUGGGAACUGCGUUUGAAACUCCAAAGCUAGAGUAUGGGAGAGGGAGGUAGAAUUCCACGUGUAGCAGUGAAAUGCGUAGAGAUGUGGAGGAAUACCAAUGGCGAAGGCAGCCUCCUGGCCUAAUAC
rnacentral:rRNA from 1 species